rnacentral:rRNA from 1 species
GAGUUUGAUCCUGGCUCAGAAUGAACGUUGGCGGCGUGGAUUAGGCAUGCAAGUCGUACGGGCCGCAAGGCCAGUGGCGCAAGGGUGAGUAAGGCGACGGUAACCAACCCCAUGGCUGGGUAUAGCCGCGGGAAACCGCGGGUAAUCCCCAGCGACGUGCGGGGCCGGCAUCGGCCCCGCACCAAAGCUCAGGCGCCGUGGGACGGGCCGUCGUGGUAUUAGGUAGUUGGCGGGAUAACGGCCCACCAAGCCGACGAUGCCUACCGGGCGUGCGAGCGUGGCCCGGCACACUGGGACUGAGACACUGCCCAGACUCCUACGGGAGGCUGCAGUCGAGAAUCUUCGGCAAUGGGCGCAAGCCUGACCGAGCGACGCCGCGUGGAGGACGAAGGCCUUCGGGUUGUAAACUCCUGUCGGAGGGGGAGGAGAGCCACAAGGUUGACCGAUCCCUGGAGGAGAGCAGGGGCUAAGUUCGUGCCAGCAGCCGCGGUAAGACGAACCGUCCGAUACGUUAUUCGGAAUCACUGGGCUUAAAGCGCGUGUAGGCGGGACGGCACGUCUGUCGCUGAAAAUCCCCGGCUCAACCGGGGAACGGGCGCGGAUACGACCGUCCUGGAGAGGCGUAGGGGGACCUGGAACUUCGGGUGGAGCGGUGAAAGUGGUUGAAAUCGGAAGGAACGCCCGUGGCGAAUCGAAGACCGGGGAUGG